GUCCACGCCCUAAACGAUGUCAACUGGUUGUUGGGUCUUCACUGACUCAGUAACGAAGCUAACGCGUGAAGUUGACCGCCUGGGGAGUACGGCCGCAAGGUUGAAACUCAAAAGGAAUUUACGGGGACCCGCACAAGCGGUGGAUGAUGUGGUUUAAUUCGAUGCAACGCGAAAAACCUUACCCACCUUUGACAUGUACGGAAUUCGCCAGAGAUGGCUUAGUGCUCGAAAGAGAGCCGUAACACAGGUGCUGCAUGGCUGUCGU
rnacentral:rRNA from 1 species